UUUACAUGUGCCAGACACUGACUCAUACAAUAGAAAAACAAAACAAGCCUGAUUUUAGAAAUUAAAUGCUUUAUUGAUUUUUUUACUGUUGCUCACAACAGAAAGUUAUAUGGAAUUUUUGAGUAUAUGGUAUAUAAGUUAAAAAAUACAUGGUGGUGGUGGGGAAACAACUUUAUUGCAAGCUUUAGAUUAUAAACUAAUUUUGGUAUACUACAUUUCUGCCAGAAUCGUAAGAGUGCCACCCAAAUGGAGAAGAAAUAAUAUUAAUUAUUGUUGUGGAAGGAGAAAUUAUUUUCUUGGGAAAAGAUUCUACUUUAUUCUGGAAUGUGCCGUUCUAGUCAAGAGACUGGCUGUUUAUACUUUCUGUUUCUUGGACCAAUUACUCUGGGGACACUCCCUCUUAUAACCCAGCUACCAUGAUAUGAGAAGACUCCCUCUUAUAACCCAGCUACCAUGAUAUGAGAAGACUCCCUCUUAUAACCCAGCUACCGUGAUAUGAGAAGACUCCCUCUUAUAACCCAGCUACCAUGAUAUGAGAAGUCCAAGCCAUGUGGAGGGGCUAUGUGUGUGUGCUUCAGUUGACAGCUCCAGCUGUGCUCGCAACAUCAAUUGCCAGCCAUGUGACUGAGCAAUUUUGAACCUCCAGCAGAAUUGACUGAGCUUUCAGAUGAACUGCAGCCCCAGCCAACAUUUCAUUGCAACAUCAUAGACCUCAAAAUAGAACCAUAGAGCUGAGCCCGGUCAACCCAAAGAAACAGAACAGUCCAUUUGCCAGAAUUAAUCAUAUGGUCCUGCCUAACUGCAAGAAGGGCAGGUACACAGGAAGAAGAAAGGAACCAGAUUU
rnacentral:lncRNA from 1 species